rnacentral:sRNA from 1 species
ACAGACUGCGGGGCGGACGGCGGACGCUGGGACGAGUUUGUAGCUCCGGCCCUGCCGUUCCGACCCCCGCCGCGGUCGCCGCCAUGACGGGGCUAGCACUGCUCUACUCCGGGGUCUUCGUGGCCUUCUGGGCCUGCGCGCUGGCCGUGGGUUCCUGACGGAGACUUCGCCCUUCAUGUGGUCCAACCUGGGCAUUGGCCUAGCUAUCUCUCUGUCUGUGGUUGGGGCAGCCUGGGGCAUCUAUAUUACCGGCUCCUCCAUCAUUGGUGGAGGAGUGAAGGCCCCCAGGAUCAAGACCAAGAACCUGGUCAGCCUUUCAGUGCCACAGACCCCAAGGCCAUCGGCCAUCGGAACUACCAUGCAGGCUACUCCAUGUUUGGGGCUGGCCUCACCGUAGGCCUGUCUAACCUCUUCUGUGGAGUCUGCGUGGGCAUCGUGGGCAGUGGGGCUGCCCUGGCCGAUGCUCAGAACCCCAGCCUCUUUGUAAAGAUUCUCAUCGUGGAGAUCUUUGGCAGCGCCAUUGGCCUCUUUGGGGU